rnacentral:rRNA from 1 species
AUGUCCGAUGUAGUGAAGAUGAGAUUUUACUAUGGUCCUGGUACUGUCCAAACAAAUGAGUUGGGAGCAGAUCUGAGUGAAUUUACUCACAUAGAGGUGGCAAUCAGCGCACCACAAACAUGGUCUGUUAGUCAGUUGAAAGAAUGGAUUGCGGCAAGUUUAGGUCUUGAUACUGAAACACACACCGUCGGUGUUCAUGCAUUGUGGACACGGUCAAGUUCAAAAAUUUACUUUUAUUUGAGGCCAAUAGAGGGAGACUCCGAUUGGGUGCGGUGGUUACAAGGUUGUGAACGAAGGGGAUGCAAUCCUGUUGCUUUAGUGCUUCCCGUCGUGAAGGAGGUCACUGCACAUGAAGGGGAGGGUGGCUACGAAGGACAGAGCAGUCAUGUAGAAGGAGGAAAUGCUUAUGGUUACGAACAAGGACAGAGCAGUCAGGUAGAAGGAGGGAAUGCUUAUGGUUAUGAACCAGGGCAGAGUAGUCAGGUAGAAGGAGGAAAUGCCGAUGGUGAUUACAAUGGCGAGGUGGACGCUGACGAGGUAGAUGGGCACAUGCAGAACCAGAUGGAAGAAGAAGACACCGAUGUUGAAAGGGGUCAUGCCGAUGAUUCUGACGAGUCAGAUGAAGAAGAAAAUGCAGAGGAGGUCCCGAAUCCUGCAUGGUGGAAUCAUGACUUAUCAUCUGCAAUGACCGUGAAUGAUGGACAUGAUUCAGCCUGGCAAUAUCACCAGAACAAUAUUGCGACGGGUGCUAUGUAUCCGAACAAGCAAGCCUUGAAGGAUGCAAUAAUUAAUUGGGCAAUGUCCACGCAAAGGGUUUUCAAAGCUGAGGUGUCCAGUCAGAAAUUCCUCACAAUGGUAUGCAAGAACGCAGAUUGUCCCGCAAGGGUGCACGGCUUUCUCCCUAAGUAUGGCACAAGUUGGGUGAUAAGUGACUUAGUUAAUCACACUUGUCUUAUUCCCUGCAUCCCUCAAGAUCAUGCCAACCUUUCAUCCACGCUUAUUGCUCGACUGUUUUACGAUGAGAUAGUGCAAGGCAAAGCUAUGGAAGUGAAGGCAGUGCAGACAAAAGUGUUCGCCAUGUUGAAGUACAGAAUUUCUUAUGGCAAGGCUUGGAGGGCUAAGCAUGCAGCGCUUGAGAGGAGAUUUGGUUCUUAUUUUGAUGCAUAUGACUCUGUUGUCCACCUCCUCCACACCCUGCAGCAGCGGAAUCCAGGCACCUAUAUCGAUAUCCAAGAUAUGUUCAUGCCAGAGUUCCCAACUGUGAGGGUGUUGCAUCGUCUCUUCUUCUCUUUCGGUGUAUGCAUCGAAGCUUUCAGGCAUUGCCAACCGGUGAUAUGUGUUGACAGUACUUUUCUCACAGGCAAGUACAAGGGUCAGAUCCUGACAGCCAUAGGUCAAGACGGCCAAAAUCAAGUCGUCCCACUGGCAUUUGCUUUUGUGGAGAGUGAGAACAUUGAAAGUUGGACAUGGUUCUUCAGGCAGUUGAAAAUAUCAGUUGUGAAGGAGAAGCCCAAUGUGUGCAUCCUUCAUGACAGGCAUGCAGGUAUACUCAGUGCGAUAAGGACACUGACAAACCCAGGCCCUGAGGAACAAGUUCCAUGGCAGGACUUGCAGAGCCGUUGGUGCAUGCGCCAUCUCGGGGCUAAUUUCUUCUCGCAGUUUAGAAAUAAGAACCUGAUGAAUCUGUUCAAAAAACUCUGCAAGCAGAACCAGUUAUGGAAGUACAAUUUGAUACGCGACAGACUUAAUGUGUGCACGCAGAGACACGUGAGGGACAGGAAAGCUGCAAGAGAUGCAGCGGUGAGGGCACAUGUUGAAGCAGUAGCUGCACAGUUGGCAACAGGAACAGCGGCCGUGGAGGAGGAGGCUGUUGGGCUAUGUGACCUGCCAGGCUUUGACCCACCUAGUACUAGGAGAAGGCUCGGGAGGUCGAUUAAAACCUUCGAGCAGUGGAUAGAGCAUGAGCCUCUAGAGAGGUGGUCUUUGCUACAUGACACACAUGGAGCAAGGUACGGUGUCAUGACAACGAACCUCGCGGAAACAUACAACUUUGUCCUCAGAGGAAACCGGGCAUUGCCACUUACAGCCAUCGUUGAGGGUAUUUUCUAUGGCACCGUCAAGUAUUUCAGAGACAGACGUCAAAUAACAGAGCAACAUAUCUUGAACAACCCAAAUACACGGUACUGUGAAAGAGUCACGAAGUACAUGGACAACAAGAUGCAAAAAGCUAGGUCACACACUGUAGUCGCCAUCGGUAAUCAAGAAAGAAGGUUUGAGGUCCGCUUAGCCAACAACAAAUUCGGAUGUGCAAAUGAGUUGAGGACACACGAGGUGAAAAUUGGCAAUGAACCCUGGCCAACGUGCGAGUGCACAUGCAAUAAACCGAAAUUGCUUCACCUACCUUGCUCACAUGUACUUGUUGCUUGCGGGCAGCUUGGAAUGGACGCAAUAUCGUUUGUGUCUCCAUAUUUUCUGAAAGAGGCUGUCCUCAAUACCUGGACAGGUGAGCUGAUGGGUUUUCGAUCAACGGGUAAUUUCAACAGCGUCAACCCCGCCGAAAGGCGUUACAUUCCAAACCCAGAGCAUAUGCGUACAAGUAGAGGCAGACGGCAGUGUCAGCGCAUCCGAAAUGAUAUGGAUGAAUCUGAAGCAGGAGGUCCGACUAGGCAAUGCAUUCUAUGCAAUGAAUUUGGCCAUAGGGACACUAAUUGUACCACUUUCGUCACUGGGCGUGGACGAGGCAACCGGGGAAGAAGAGGAGGUAGAUGCAGUAGAGGAGUAAGGGCGAGAGGAAGAAGCUAA